rnacentral:rRNA from 1 species
AUAAAGCGGGUGAAAAGCCCGCUCGCCGGAAGACCAAGGGUUCCUGUCCAACGUUAAUCGGGGCAGGGUGAGUCGACCCCUAAGGCGAGGCCGAAAGGCGUAGUCGAUGGGAAACGGGUUAAUAUUCCCGUACUUGGUGUUACUGCGAAGGGGGGACGGAGAAGGCUAUGUUGGCCGGGCGACGGUUGUCCCGGUUUAAGCGUGUAGGUGUGUGUUCCAGGUAAAUCCGGUUCACUUUAACACUGAGGCGUGACGACGAGGCACUACGGUGCUGAAGCAACAAAUGCCCUGCUUCCAGGAAAA